rnacentral:rRNA from 1 species
GAUGAACGCUGGCGGCGUGCCUAAUACAUGCCAGUCGAGCGAACGGACGAGAAGCUUGCUUUUCUGAUGUUAGCGGCGGACGGGUGAGUAACACGUGGAUAACCUACCUAUAAGACUGGGAUAACUUCGGGAAACCGGAUCUAAUACCGGAUAAUAUUUUGAACCGCAUGGUUCAAAAGUGAAAGACGGUCUUGCUGUCACUUAUAGAUGGAUCCGCGCUGCAUUAGCUAGUUGGUAAGGUAACGGCUUACCAAGGCAACGAUGCAUAGCCGACCUGAGAGGGUGAUCGGCCACACUGGAACUGAGACACGGUCCAGACUCCUACGGGAGGCAGCAGUAGGGAAUCUUCCGCAAUGGGCGAAAGCCUGACGGAGCAACGCCGCGUGAGUGAUGAAGGUCUUCGGAUCGUAAAACUCUGUUAGUAGGGAAGAACAUAUGUGUAAGUAACUGUGCACAUCUUGACGGUACCUAAUCAGAAAGCCACGGCUAACUACGUG